GUGAGGAAUAUUGGACAAUGGGCGCAAGCCUGAUCCAGCCAUGCCGCGUGCAGGAAGACGCAUCUAUGGUGUGUAAACUGCUUUUGUACGGGAAGAAACACUCCCUCGUGAGGGAGCUUGACGGUACCGUAAGAAUAAGGAUCGGCUAACUCCGUGCCAGCAGCCGCGGUAAUACGGAGGAUCCAAGCGUUAUCCGGAAUCAUUGGGUUUAAAGGGUCCGUAGGCGGUUUAAUAAGUCAGUGGUGAAAGCCCAUCGCUCAACGAUGGAACGGCCAUUGAUACUGUUAGACUUGAAUUACAAGGAAGUAACUAGAAUAUGUAGUGUAGCGGUGAAAUGCUUAGAUAUUACAUGGAAUACCAAUUGCGAAGGCAGGUUACUACUUGUGGAUUGACGCUGAUGGACGAAAGCGUGGGUAGCGAACAGGAUUAGAAACCCCAGUAGUCC
rnacentral:rRNA from 1 species